AACGAACGCUGGCGGCAUGCCUAACACAUGCAAGUCGAACGAUGCCUUCGGGCAUAGUGGCGCACGGGUGCGUAACGCGUGGGAAUCUACCCCUGGGUUCGGAAUAACAGUUAGAAAUGACUGCUAAUACCGGAUGAUGACGUAAGUCCAAAGAUUUAUCGCCCAGGGACGAGCCCGCGUAGGAUUAGCUAGUUGGUGAGGUAAAGGCUCACCAAGGCGACGAUCCUUAGCUGGUCUGAGAGGAUGAUCAGCCACACUGGGACUGAGACACGGCCCA
rnacentral:rRNA from 1 species